GCUGGGCGCAGUGGCUCACGCCUGUAAUCCCAGCAUUUUGGGAGGCUGAGGCAGGAGGAUUGCUUGAGGCCAGGAGUUCCAGACCAGCCUGGCCAACAUAGCGAGACCUCGCCUCUC
ensembl:misc_RNA Metazoa_SRP Metazoan signal recognition particle RNA